GUCGAACGGUAACGCGGGGCAACCUGGCGACGAGUGGCGAACGGGUGAGUAAUGCAUCGGAACGUGCCCAGUAGUGGGGGAUAGCCCGGCGAAAGCCGGAUUAAUACCGCAUACGACCUACGGGUGAAAGCGGGGGACUCGCAAGAGCCUCGCGCUAUUGGAGCGGCCGAUGUCAGAUUAGCUAGUUGGUGGGGUAAAAGCCUACCAAGGCGACGAUCUGUAGCUGGUCUGAGAGGACGACCAGCCACACUGGGACUGAGACACGGCCCAGACUCCUACGGGAGGCAGCAGUGGGGAAUUUUGGACAAUGGGCGCAAGCCUGAUCCAGCCAUGCCGCGUGCGGGAAGAAGGCCUUCGGGUUGUAAACCGCUUUUGUCAGGGAAGAAACGCUCUGGGCUAAUACCCUGGGGUAAUGACGGUACCUGAAGAAUAAGCACCGGCUAACUACGUGCCAGCAGCCGCGGUAAUACGUAGGGUGCAAGCGUUAAUCGGAAUUACUGGGCGUAAAGCGUGCGCAGGCGGUUAUGCAAGACAGAUGUGAAAUCCCCGGGCUCAACCUGGGAACUGCAUUUGUGACUGUAUAGCUAGAGUACGGUAGAGGG
rnacentral:rRNA from 1 species